rnacentral:rRNA from 1 species
GAUCAUUACUGAUUUGGCUUAAUGGCACCACAUGUGUUUUUCUUUGAAACAAACUUGCUUUGGCGGUGGGCCCAGCCUGCCGCCAGAGGUCUAAACUUGCAACCAAUUUUUUAUCAACUUGUCACACCAGAUUAUUACUAAUAGUCAAAACUUUCAACAACGGAUCUCUUGGUUCUCGCAUCGAUGAAGAACGCAGCGAAAUGCGAUACGUAAUAUGAAUUGCAGAUAUUCGUGAAUCAUCGAAUUUUUGAACGCACAUUGCGCCCUCUGGUAUUCCGGAGGGCAUGCCUGUUUGAGCGUCGUUUCUCCCUCAAACCGCUGGGUUUGGUGUUGAGCAAUACGACUUGGGUUUGCUUGAAAGACGGUAGUGGUAAGGCGGGAUCGCUUUGACAAUGGCUUAGGUCUAACCAAAAACAUUGCUUGCGGCGGUAACGUCUACCACGUAUAUCUUCAAACUUGACCUCAAAUCAGGUAGGACUACCCGCUGAACUUAAGCAUAUCAAUAAGCGGAGGAAAAGAAACCAACAGGGAUUGCCUCAGUAGCGGCGAGUGAAGCGGCAAAAGCUCAAAUUUGAAAUCUGGCGUCUUUGGCGUCCGAGUUGUAAUU